rnacentral:rRNA from 1 species
AGCUCCAAUAGCGUAUAUUAAAGUUGUUGCAGUUAAAAAGCUCGUAGUUGGAUUUCGGAACCGGCCGAUUGGUCCGUCCUCUGGAUCGUGUACUGAUCGGUCUGUUCUUCUUCGCGAAGACCGCGUGUGCCCUUAACUGGGUGGGCGCGGGAUUCGCGACGUUUACUUUGAAAAAAUUAGAGUGUUCAAAGCAGGCAGUCGCUUGAAUAUCUCAGCAUGGAAUAAUAGAAUAGGACUUUGAUCUUAUUUUGUUGGUUUCCGAGACCGAAGUAAUGAUUAAUAGGGACAGUUGGGGGCAUUCGUAUUUCAUUGUCAGAGGUGAAAUUCUUGGAUUUAUGAAAGACGAACUUCUGCGAAAGCAUUUGCCAAGGAUGUUUUCAUUAAUCAAGAACGAAAGUAG